GAUGAACGCUGGCGGCGUGCCUAAUACAUGCAAGUCGAGCGAACGGACGAGAAGCUUGCUUCUCUGAUGUUAGCGGCGGACGGGUGAGUAACACGUGGAUAACCUACCUAUAAGACUGGGAUAACUUCGGGAAACCGGAGCUAAUACCGGAUAAUAUUUUAAACCGCAUGGUUCAAAAGUGAAAGACGGUCUUGCUGUCACUUAUAGAUGGAUCCGCGCUGCAUUAGCUAGUUGGUAAGGUAACGGCUUACCAAGGCAGCGAUGCAUAGCCGACCUGAGAGGGUGAUCGGCCACACUGGAACUGAGACACGGUCCAGACUCCUACGGGAGGCAGCAGUAGGGAAUCUUCCGCAAUGGGCGAAAGCCUGACGGAGCAACGCCGCGUGAGUGAUGAAGGUCUUCGGAUCGUAAAACUCUGUUAUUAGGGAAGAACAUAUGUGUAAGUAACUGUGCACAUCUUGACGGUACCUAAUCAGAAAGCCACGGCUAACUACGUG
rnacentral:rRNA from 1 species